UGGGGAAUUUUGCACAAUGGGCGCAAGCCUGAUGCAGCGACGCCGCGUGAGGGAUGAAGGCCUUCGGGUUGUAAACCUUUUUCGCUCAUGGUCAAGCCGCAGCUUUGGGUUGUGGUGAGGGUAGUGGGUAAAGAAGCGCCGGCUAAUUACGUGCCAGCAGCCGCGGUAAUACGUAAGGUCCGAGCGUUGUCCGGAAUCAUUGGGCGUAAAGGGUACGUAGGCGGAUAAGCAAGUUAGAAGUGAAAUCCUAUAGCUCAACUAUAGUAAGCUUUUAAAACUGCUCAUCUUGAGGUAUGGAAGGGAAAGUGGAAUUCCUAGUGUAGCGGUGAAAUGCGCAGAUAUUAGGAGGAAUACCGGUGGCGAAGGCGACUUUCUGGCCAUAAACUGACGCUGAGGUACGAAAGCGUGGGUAGCAAACAGG
rnacentral:rRNA from 1 species